GAGAUAAUACCUGAUAGAGGAUAAAUACUGGAAGGUUUUAUUCUUCAAAGCUUCGGCACCUGAGGAUGGGACUGCGUCGGAUUAGCUUGUUGUCGGGAUAAUUACCCGACAAGGCGAUAAUCCGUACGGGUUGUGAGAGCAAUAGCCCGGAGAUGGAUUCUGAGACAUGAAUCCAGGUCCUACGGGACGCAGCAGGCGCGAAACCUUCACAAUGCCUGAAAGGGUGAUGAGGGAACUCUGAGUGACUUCGCAAUGCGAAGUCUUUUGCCAAGUGCAAAAAGCUCGGUGAAUAAGUGGUGGGCAAGACAGUUGCCAGCCGCCGCGGUAAUAACUGCGCCACGAGUGGUGAUCUCGUUUAUUGGGCUUAAAGCGUUCGUAGCCGGUUUUAUAAGCAUCUGGUGAAAUCCGAUAGUAAACUAUUGGGCUGGCUAGGUGUACUGUAAGACUAGGGACCGGUAGGGGCCGGGAGUACUCCUAGGGUAGGGGUUAAAUCCUUUAAUCCUAGGGGGACUACCAGUGGCGAAGGCGCCCGGCUAGAACGGGUCCGACGGUGAGGGACGAAAGCUGGGGGAGCGAUCCGGAUUAGAUACCCGGGUAGUCCCAGCUGUAAACGAUGCCCGCUUGGUGUGGUGAAACUUUCGUGGUUUUGCCGUACCGUAGCGAAA
rnacentral:rRNA from 1 species